UUGAACGCUGGCGGCAUGCCUUACACAUGCAAGUCGAACGGUAACGGGCCUUCGGGUGCCGACGAGUGGCGAACGGGUGAGUAAUACAUCGGAACGUGCCCGAUCGUGGGGGAUAACGAGGCGAAAGCUUUGCUAAUACCGCAUACGAUCUACGGAUGAAAGCAGGGGACCGCAAGGCCUUGCGCGGACGGAGCGGCCGAUGGCAGAUUAGGUAGUUGGUGGGAUAAAAGCUUACCAAGCCGACGAUCUGUAGCUGGUCUGAGAGGAUGAUCAGCCACACUGGGACUGAGACACGGCCCAGACUCCUACGGGAGGCAGCAGUGGGGAAUUUUGGACAAUGGGCGCAAGCCUGAUCCAGCCAUGCCGCGUGCAGGAUGAAGGCCUGCGGGUUGUAAACUGCUUUUGUACGGAACGAAAAGCCUUCUUUUAAUACAGGAGGGUCAUGACGGUACCGUAAGAAUAAGCACCGGCUAACUACGU
rnacentral:rRNA from 1 species